UGCAGAUCCAUCCCAGAACCCUGGGAUCACCACCCAAGCUGAAGGCAGACGCUUCACCGCUUAACCAACUGAGCCACCCAGGCGUCCCACCGAGCCUCUUUUCAUGUGAUCAUUUCCCAUUUCUGUAUCCACACAGAAAAUGAAUGCAUUCCAAGCAGAAAAGUAACCACGAAUCCAUUUCAUUGUGGAUGGGUGACAGACCUCAGCCUUCUCUCUCGACACCCCGGAGAAAAAUUCUAACCCUUGGGUGCAGAUGAUUUGGACUAAAGUCUUGAUAAGCUGGAUAUGCAAGGCCAGAAAAGAGGAGGACGACACAGAGCAAAGAUAAACAACUAUCGAAAGCCCUUCUCAUUGUGCUAAAAAAAGGAACUGCACUUGCAACAUUUAGUCCACGUCUCUGACUCGCCCACAGCGGGCAUGACCACACUGAGCUCCGUCUCCCCACCAGGACUGUCCCCACAGGGGUGCCGAGGGUCGGACGCAAGAAGACCCGUCCAGGUACCUUAU